CCUUAAUUGUCCUAGGUAAUUUCGUAGUCUGAUGAGAAGAAAAGCCUCCCACAUAAUAAAAUGGCAACUACAUGCGAGAAAAAAGGGCUUCAUCGGUUAUCUUUAGAGUAGUGGAAUUAGCCUCCACAGCCGCAAACUCGCCUUCCUGUUGGUGAUUGGCUACUUCAUCUUCGCCUACAAUUAGAGCUCUUAAAGUUUUAUUUGGGCACUCAUACAUGGGAUGGAAGGGUUGCUGAGAACUAUAACACAACCCCUUUGCCCGUAAUUCCAGAAAUUCUUGAUGUGUAUACUGUCUUGUCCCCUUGGGUCUAUUGGCAAUUUGAGAUCAUGAAGCAGCUGGGGUUAUAGGGUUAGAAGUAUGUUGUAGGAAUUUUGGUGGGUCAGGAGGUGCUUUGUCUAUAGGUUUUGGGGCUUGUAACUCAGGAAAUUUGGGCUUAUGAAAUUGGGUUAUGGGUCUAGCCAUUGGGGAAUAAGAUUUUGGAGAAUUUAUUUGGUCUAAAUUGGGCCAAAGCCCUUGAUUUUGCACCCCGCGAGAGUUUCCUCCUCCUACAGCCUUCUAUGGAGGUUUUGCAGAUAAUACAUACUAGUUCUCUAAUUCAAUCUCUCUAGCUAAUUGCAUGAUAUGAGAAAUGUCUACAGAAUCAGGGGAACGAAUUCUUACUCGUAUAUCAUCG
rnacentral:misc_RNA from 1 species